GUACACUCCUACGGGAGGCAGCAGUGGGGAAUUUUGGACAAUGGGCGAAAGCCUGAUCCAGCAAUGCCGCGUGAGUGAAGAAGGCCUUCGGGUUGUAAAGCUCUUUUGUCAGGGAAGAAACGGUGAAAGCUAAUAUCUUUUGCUAAUGACGGUACCUGAAGAAUAAGCACCGGCUAACUACGUGCCAGCAGCCGCGGUAAUACGUAGGGUGCAAGCGUUAAUCGGAAUUACUGGGCGUAAAGCGUGCGCAGGCGGUUUUGUAAGUCUGAUGUGAAAUCCCCGGGCUCAACCUGGGAAUUGCAUUGGAGACUGCAAGGCUAGAAUCUGGCAGAGGGGGGUAGAAUUCCACGUGUAGCAGUGAAAUGCGUAGAUAUGUGGAGGAACACCGAUGGCGAAGGCAGCCCCCUGGGUCAAGAUUGACGCUCAUGCACGAAAGCGUGGGAAGCAAACAGGAUUAGAAACCCCUGUAGUCCCAUGAU
rnacentral:rRNA from 1 species